AUAAUACUACCUCCGUCCGAAAAAUACUUGUCAUCAAAAUGGAUAAACGGGGAUGUAUCUAGAUGUAUUUUAGUUUUAAAUACAUCCAUUUUUAUCAAUUUUGAUGACAAGUUUUUUCGGACGGAGGGAGUAUAUU
rfam:Triticum aestivum genome assembly, contig: Triticum_aestivum_CS42_TGACv1_scaffold_289769_4AL